rnacentral:rRNA from 1 species
GACGAACGCUGGCGGCGUGCUUAACACAUGCAAGUCGAACGGAAAGGCCCUGCUUUUGUGGGGUGCUCGAGUGGCGAACGGGUGAGUAACACGUGAGUAACCUGCCCUUGACUUUGGGAUAACUUCAGGAAACUGGGGCUAAUACCGGAUAGGAGCUCCUGCUGCAUGGUGGGGGUUGGAAAGUUUCGGCGGUUGGGGAUGGACUCGCGGCUUAUCAGCUUGUUGGUGGGGUAGUGGCUUACCAAGGCUUUGACGGGUAGCCGGCCUGAGAGGGUGACCGGCCACAUUGGGACUGAGAUACGGCCCAGACUCCUACGGGAGGCAGCAGUGGGGAAUAUUGCACAAUGGGCGGAAGCCUGAUGCAGCAACGCCGCGUGCGGGAUGACGGCCUUCGGGUUGUAAACCGCUUUCGCCUGUGACGAAGGGUGAGUGACGGUAAGGGGUAAAGAGGCACCGGCUAACUACG